UGGGGAAUAUUGGACAAUGGGGGGAACCCUGAUCCAGCCAUGCCGCGUGUGUGAAGAAGGCCUUAUGGUUGUAAAGCACUUUAAGCGAGGAGGAGGGUACUGGUAUUAAUACUACCAGGUUCUGGACGUUACUCGCAGAAUAAGCACCGGCUAACUCUGUGCCAGCAGCCGCGGUAAUACAGAGGGUGCGAGCGUUAAUCGGAUUUACUGGGCGUAAAGCGUGCGUAGGCGGCUAAUUGAGUCGGAUGUGAAAUCCCCGAGCUUAACUUGGGAAUUGCAUUCGAUACUGGUUAGCUAGAGUGUGGGAGAGGAUGGUAGAAUUCCAGGUGUAGCGGUGAAAUGCGUAGAGAUCUGGAGGAAUACCGAUGGCGAAGGCAGCCAUCUGGCCUAACACUGACGCUGAGGUACGAAAGCAUGGGGAGCAAACAGG
rnacentral:rRNA from 1 species